rnacentral:rRNA from 1 species
GACAGAGGGUGCAAACGUUGUUCGGAUUUACUGGGCGUAAAGCGCGUGUAGGCGGCCAUGUAGGUCCGGUGUGAAAACUCGAGGCUUAACCUCGAGAUGUCAUCGGAAACCAUUUGGCUAGAGUCCGGAAGAGGAGAGUGGAAUUCCUGGUGUAGCGGUGAAAUGCGCAGAUAUCAGGAAGAACACCAAUGGCGAAAGCAGCUCUCUGGGACGGUACUGACGCUGAGACGCGAAAGCGUGGGGAGCGAACAGG